rnacentral:rRNA from 1 species
GUGAGGAAUAUUGGUCAAUGGACGAGAGUCUGAACCAGCCAAGUAGCGUGAAGGAUGACUGCCCUAUGGGUUGUAAACUUCUUUUAUAAGGGAAUAAAGUGAGGGACGUGUCCCUUUUUGUAUGUACCUUAUGAAUAAGGAUCGGCUAACUCCGUGCCAGCAGCCGCGGUAAUACGGAGGAUCCGAGCGUUAUCCGGAUUUAUUGGGUUUAAAGGGAGCGUAGGUUGACGUAUAAGUCAGCUGUGAAAGUUUACGGCUCAACCGUGAAAUUGCAGUUGAUACUGUAUGUCUUGAGUGUACAAGAGGUGGGCGGAAUUCGUGGUGUAGCGGUGAAAUGCUUAGAUAUCACGAAGAACUCCAAUUGCGAAGGCAGCUCACUGGGGUACAACUGACACUGAGGCUCGAAAGUGUGGGUAUCAAACAGGAUUAGAUACCCCUGUAGUCC